ensembl:lncRNA
GCUUCCCUCAAAUAAAUUACUUAAUCUCUCUUCAAUUCAGUUUUGCAUCUGUAAAUAUAAAUAACUACAAUUUCACAGUAUUUCCAUUUAAAAAGUUCUAGUGCAACAUCAGAAAGAAGAACUUAGUAGGUGUUCAAAAAAAAAUAUAUAAGUUCUGCUUUGUUAGCCAGCAAAUAGUUGCCUGUUUCUAGCCCUCAAAUUAGCCCUCACUUCUUUUCUCCUAAAUCCCUAUAUUGCAUUUAUUUAACUUAAAGUGCUGGAUGUGGCACUAUGAGAAAGAAAAAGAUAUUUGGUAAUCUUGUUAAAAUCAUUAGACAUCCCAGGCUAUCUGGAAUCACCUUGGGCUCACAGUUAGACAUCAGCUAUGGCUUGUUUUAUUUAUAAAUUCAUCCACCGAUGCAUGAUAAUGGAAUUCACAAGACAGCAAUUUACCAAAAAAAGAAACUUAUUGAUUUAUAAUGUGAGAUAUUAAUUUAGCCACAAAUAUUUAUUGAGCAUCUCCUACAUACCAGGGAAUGGACUAUAUAUGGCAGGAAAACAGAUACCAAUCAUUUAUAUCAGGCGUUUUUUUCUAAUAGAAGGAUAUUCUCAGGAGACAAUGCAUAGCAGCAUGCCUUGCACGUAACAGGCAUUUAACAACUAUUAGUUGAAUAAAAUUAGAGACUAGAAUGACACAUAAAGAGGCAAGAAAGAGCAAAGAUAAGCCUUUCUGAGAAUUUCUAUCAUGUUUUGCUCAAUAGCUUGUCUUUAUCCACUGCUUGUAUUUUUCCAUGUAGCUAAUCCUCAUUGGUCGUUAGAAUUGAGACACCCUUUCCUUGAAAUCAGGAGCUAUAGGAGGCCAUUCUUCCUACUAGGCAUUUUCUUUCUGGGACAGAGUCUCACUCUGUCACCUAGGCUGGAGUGCCUCAUAGCUCACUAUAACCUUGAAUUCCUGGGCUCAAGGAAUCCUCUUGCCAAAGACGUGGGAUUACAGGCACGAGCCACCAUGCCAGCCUAUUUGGCAUUUCUACUGUAGACAAAGCAGACUUACAGCAGUAGGUCUACCUGCCUAAUACAAAAAGAAAAAAAGAAUUUUAACAAACGAGGGAAUCAGAUCCAGAAAGUGAUUCUUAUAACUUAGAUUACUUAGAGGAGUAGAUCUAUAAUCUGCUCUAGAUCCACUGCAUACAGGGGCCCUUCUUAUCAUAUUCCAUAAUUAGCACUUUUCUCAGCCCAGCUUUUGAUGAUAGCUGAACAGACUAACAGUUUGUCUAACAAAGGCUAGAGAAGGGGAUAGCAAACAAUGGCCCACAGGCUGAAUCCUGCCUGCUGCUCAUUUUUGCAAAGUUUUAUUAGAAUACGGUCAUUUCCACUCAUCUUCACACUGUCAACGGCUGCUUUUGCGCUACAGCAGCAGAGCUGGGUGGUUGGGGCAGGGUUCACAUGGCUAACAAAGACUAAAAUACUUAUCAUCUGACCUUUUACAGCAAGUUUGCUGAUCCUUGGAGUGUACGAGUAUUCUAUAUUGCUGAUUAAGAACAGAACCACAAGUAUUAGAAGUUAGACUAGCAGGUGGUAAAGCUGAUCAUCUAUUAAUAUAAUGGAAAUUGGGGUUCCCAAUCAGGACUCUUGCUUUGAUAGAAGGCCAUCUUAACGAGGAGGGAGACACCUGCAGGCAAAGUCAGAAUUUUCUGCAGGAAAAGUUUUGAGUCCAUUUCCCCUUAUGAACAAGUGCUCAGCUAUGCAUUUCAUCUUUAGUAACCAUGCUUCUAUACCUGGUUCUCCUUGGCAAAGAUUUCUUUCUUCAGUAAGUCUCAAUACUUUCUGGGAAGGUAGGGAGAUAUGGGGGUAAAAGUGUCCCAGGACUUACUGAAGGAAGUGUUUUAUGAUUAUCUGACAGAAUCACUGUAUCAUGGUAGAGAAGGCAAACAGAAUAUAAUCUGAAAAUAGAGGUGAGGGUGAACAAAUGGGCACUAAAACUGAACUCAGCAUCAGGAAGGUAGCAAAACAAGACAUCAGUCAAAGACAUGGAGUGAUUCAGACCUAAGGAAGAUUUAAUGUGGGAUGUUUCUGCGUGUCAGGAGCUGGACACUUAAGCAAGAGGAGAUCUAGGAAUGUUGCUAAAACCAUGGCCUCCAUACUUUAUUGGAAUUAGCACAACUUAUCCUUGUUUCUUUCAUUUUGCAAUCAAAAUCUUUAAAAACAUAUUAUUUAAAAAUACAUUAUUUUAAAAGCUAGAAUGAAAAUUAUGAUAUCAUUAAGGUGGUUUAAAAAAUAUCCACCAGCUGGGCGUGGUGGCUCACGCCUGUAAUCUCAGCACUUUGGGAGUCCGAGGCGGGCAGAUCAUGAGGUCAGGAGAUUGAGACCAUCCUGGCUGACACAGUGAAAUCCCAUCUCUACUAAAAAUACAAAAAAUUAGCCAGACAUGGUGGCGGAUGCCUGUGGUCCCAGCUACUCGGGAGGCUGAGGCAGGAGAAUGGCAUGAACCCGGGAGGUGGAGGUUGCAGUGAGCUGAGAUCGUGCCACUGCACUCCAGCCUGGGCGACAGAACAAGACUCCAUCUAAAAAAAAAAAAAAAAAAAAAAAAAAAAAAACCAUCCACCAAAAUGGGAAGAAGUGAUGAAAAAUUACAGUCCAAGAAGAAGGGGCAUAGCUGCUUAAAUCAAUUGGUAUAUUUGUUAUCUAAUA